AUGCUUGCUUCAGCAGCACACAUACUAAAAUUGGAACAAUUCAGAGGAGAUUAGCAUGGCCCCUGCGCAAAGAUGACACGCAAAUUCGUGAAGGAUUCCAUAUUUUC
ensembl:snRNA U6 U6 spliceosomal RNA